rnacentral:rRNA from 1 species
UACGUAGGGGGCAAGCGUUGUCCGGAAUUAUUGGGCGUAAAGCGCGCGCAGGCGGCUCUGUAAGUUUGGUGUUUAAUCUCAGAGCUCAACUCUGAUUCGCACCGAAAACUGCAAGGCUUGAGUACAGAAGAGGAAAGUGGAAUUCCACGUGUAGCGGUGAAAUGCGUAGAGAUGUGGAGGAACACCAGUGGCGAAGGCGACUUUCUGGGCUGUAACUGACGCUGAGGCGCGAAAGCUAGGGGAGCAAACAGG